GGGCCCAGUGGGGUGGGGGAGGGAAGGGGGGGCUAGGGAAGAGGGCCGAGGUGUCGUAGGAGAGAUUUUGGACCAAAGGAGCACUCGGCCCUGAGGGAGGCCAGUCUCUGCCAAACCUUUUUCCUCUUCGUGAAGGCGAAGAAGCCUCAAGACCAGAAUUUCGCCAUGUCUAUUACCAAGAUCCAUGCCAGGGAGAUCUUCGACUCUCGUGGAAACCCCACAGUUGAGGUUGAUCUCCACACUCAUAAAGGUAUCUUCCGAGCUGCGGUGCCCAGUGGCGCUUCUACUGGCAUCUAUGAAGCCUUAGAACUCCGAGACAAUGAUAAGAGCUACCUCCUGGGGAAAGGUGUCUCAAAAGCUAUUGACCAUAUCAACCACACUAUUGCCCCAGCACUGAUUAACAAGAAACUUAAUGUCGUGGAGCAGGAGAAAAUUGACUACCUAAUGCUGAACAUGGAUGGCACUGAGAAUAAAAGUAAAUUUGGUGCAAAUGCCAUACUUGGAGUGUCUCUGGCUGUUUGCAAGGCUGGAGCUGCUGAGAGAGGUGUCCCCUUAUACCGCCACAUUGCUGACCUUGCUUGUAAAGAAGAGACCGUUCUACCUGUGCCAGCCUUCAACGUGAUCAAUGGUGGCUCCCAUGCUGGUAACCAGCUGGCCAUGCAGGAAUUCAUGAUCCUCCCGGUAGGAGCUGAGAAUUUCAGGGAGGCCAUGCGCAUUGGCUCUGAGGUCUACCACAACCUGAAGAUUGUGAUUAAGGAGAAAUUUGGGACAGAUGCCAUCAAUGUGGGGGAUGAAGGCGGCUUUGCUCCUAACAUCCUGGAGAAUAAAGAAGCUCUUGAACUGCUGAAAGAAGCAAUCGGUAACGCUGGCCACACCGAUAAAGUUGUCAUUGGCAUGGAUGUUGCUGCCUCGGAGUUUUACAAGGAUGGAAAGUACGACCUGGAGUUCAAGUCUCCUGAUGACCCCAGCAGACACAUGACUGCUAAGGAGCUGAGCAACCUGUACAAGUCUUUUAUCAAGGAUUACCCAGUGAUGUCUAUUGAAGAUCCCUUUGACCAGGAUGACUGGGAAGCGUGGAAGAAUUUCACUUCUUCUGUAGGCAUCCAGGUGGUAGGGGAUGAUCUCACUGUGACCAAUCCUAUACGCAUCAAAAAGGCCAUCAGGGAGAAAGCCUGCAACUGUCUCCUGCUCAAAGUGAACCAGAUAGGCACCGUCACAGAGUCUAUCCAGGCGUGCAAGAUAGCCCAGUCUAAUGGGUGGGGAGUAAUGGUUUCUCAUCGUUCUGGGGAAACUGAAGAUACCUUCAUUGCAGACCUGGCGGUGGGUCUCUGCACUGGGCAGAUUAAGACUGGUGCCCCUUGCCGAUCUGAGCGUCUGGCCAAGUAUAAUCAGCUUCUCAGGGUGGGACCCAGGAUGCCUGGAGGGAAUGCAGCACUGAGCACAUAGGCCUUUUUUCUGGAAGGAUGGUGGUGUCCUGACCAGCCACACGCAGUUCAGCAAAAACAAUCCAGCUCUGGUGGCCUCUCCUUUUUAGAACAAAGGGAUGUCUCAGACUCUUCUGUACCCUUAAGUGAAUGAGGAAGCACAGUGCAGGGAAAAGAGAACCCAAUUGAUACACUCUGCACAUUUGGUUUGGAGUCCAGCACUGCUCCCUAAGCAGCUGUGAGCCCUGGGGAAUUCCCUGAAUCUCUCUGCGCCUCAGUCGCCUCCUCUACAAAAGGAGGGAAGAAUUGAAGAACAGCUGGGCAGCCAGGCUAAAUUCGCUGGUAGGAACUUCAGAAAACCCACUACAGCUUGCCAGACUG